rnacentral:rRNA from 1 species
UACGUAGGCAGCAAGCGUUGUUCGGAAUUACUGGGCGUAAAGAGUGUGUAGGCGGUGCUCUAAGUCUGUUGUGAAAUCUCCCGGCUUAACUGGGAGGGUGCGGCGGAGACUGGAGUGCUAGAGUGUGGGAGAGGUAAGCGGAAUUCCUGGUGUAGCGGUGAAAUGCGUAGAUAUCAGGAGGAACACCUGUGGUGUAGACAGCUUACUGGGCCAACACUGACGCUCAUGCACGAAAGCGUGGGGAGCAAACAGG